rnacentral:rRNA from 1 species
UACGUAGGUGGCAAGCGUUGUCCGGAUUUACUGGGCGUAAAGAGCGCGCAGGCGGUCGUUCAAGUCGCGUGUGAAAGCCCCCGGCUCAACUGGGGAGGGUCACGCGAUACUGAUCGACUGGAAGGCAGGAGAGGGUAGUGGAAUUCCCGGUGUAGUGGUGAAAUGCGUAGAUAUCGGGAGGAACACCAAUGGCGAAGGCAGCUCGCUGGGACGGUACUGACGCUGAGACGCGAAAGCGUGGGGAGCAAACAGG